UACGUAGGGUGCAAGCGUUGUCCGGAAUUAUUGGGCGUAAAGAGCUCGUAGGCGGUUUGUCGCGUCUGCUGUGAAAACCCGAGGCUCAACUUCGGGCCUGCAGUGGGUACGGGCAGACUAGAGUGCGGUAGGGGAGAUUGGAAUUCCUGGUGUAGCGGUGGAAUGCGCAGAUAUCAGGAGGAACACCAAUGGCGAAGGCAGAUCUCUGGGCCGUAACUGACGCUGAGGAGCGAAAGCAUGGGGAGCGAACAGG
rnacentral:rRNA from 1 species